AGUAACCUGCCUUGGAGUGGGGAAUAACAGCUGGAAACAGCUGCUAAUACCGCAUGAUGCAGUUGGGUCGCAUGGCUCUGACUGCCAAAGAUUUAUCGCUCUGAGAUGGACUCGCGUCUGAUUAGCUAGUUGGCGGGGCAACGGCCCACCAAGGCGACGAUCAGUAGCCGGACUGAGAGGUUGGCCGGCCACAUUGGGACUGAGACACGGCCCAAACUCCUACGGAAGGCAGCAG
rnacentral:rRNA from 1 species